AUGAUUUUAGGACAGUGUAUUUUAUUGCUAAUUUCAUAUUCUUAUGGACAGUCCCUGACCUCCUCUGAUUCUGUGGUGAAGAGACCUGGAGAGUCGGUCACUCUGUCCUGUACUGUCUCCGGAUUCUCAAUGAGCUACUACAUGCACUGGAUCCGUCAGAAACCAGGACAAGGACUGGAGUGGAUCGGGCUCAUUGAUGGUGGCACUGGCACAAUAUUCGCUCAGUCUCUACAGGGCCAGUUCUCCAUCAAUAAAGACAUCAAUAAAAACUUGCUGUACCUACUGUAG